AACGAACGCUGGCGGCAGGCUUAACACAUGCAAGUCGAACGCCCCGCAAGGGGAGUGGCAGACGGGUGAGUAACACGUGGGAACAUGCCCAAAGGUACGGAAUAUUCUCGGGGAACUGGGAGCAAUACCGUAUGUGCCCGAAAGGGGAAAGAUUUAUCGCCUUUGGAUUGGCCCGCGUUGGAUUAGCUAGUUGGUGGGGUAAAAGCCUACCAAGGCGACGAUCCAUAGCUGGUCUGAGAGGACGACCAGCCACACUGGGACUGAGACACGGCCCAGACUCCUACGGGAGGCAGCAGUGGGGAAUCUUGGACAAUGGGCGCAAGCCUGAUCCAGCCAUGCCGCGUGAGUGAUGAAGGCCCUAGGGUUGUAAAACUCUUUCGUGGGGGACGUUAAUGACGGUACCCCAAGAAGAAGCUCCGGCUAACUUCGUGCCAGCAGCCGCGGUAAUAC
rnacentral:rRNA from 1 species